ACCUACGGGACGCAGCAGUGGGGAAUUUUGGACAAUGGGCGCAAGCCUGAUCCAGCCAUGCCGCGUGCGGGAAGAAGGCCUUCGGGUUGUAAACCGCUUUUGUCAGGGAAGAAACGGACUGGGAUAAUACCCUGGUCUAAUGACGGUACCUGAAGAAUAAGCACCGGCUAACUACGUGCCAGCAGCCGCGGUAAUACGUAGGGUGCAAGCGUUAAUCGGAAUUACUGGGCGUAAAGCGUGCGCAGGCGGUCCUAUAAGACAGAUGUGAAAUCCCCGGGCUCAACCUGGGAACUGCAUUUGUGACUGUAGGGCUUGAGUACGGUAGAGGGGGAUGGAAUUCCGCGUGUAGCAGUGAAAUGCGUAGAUAUGCGGAGGAACACCGAUGGCGAAGGCAAUCCCCUGGACCUGUACUGACGCUCAUGCACGAAAGCGUGGGGAGCAAACAGGAUUAGAUACCCUUGUAC
rnacentral:rRNA from 1 species